AACGAACGCUGGCGGCAGGCCUAACACAUGCAAGUCGAGCGAGGACUUCGGUUCUAGCGGCGGACGGGUGAGUAACGCGUGGGAAUGUGCCCUUCUCUACGGAAUAGCCCUGGGAAACUGGGAGUAAUACCGUAUACGCCCUAUUGGGGAAAGAUUUAUCGGAGAAGGAUCAGCCCGCGUUGGAUUAGGUAGUUGGUGGGGUAAUGGCCUACCAAGCCGACGAUCCAUAGCUGGUUUGAGAGGAUGAUCAGCCACACUGGGACUGAGACACGGCCCAGACUCCUACGGGAGGCAGCAGUGGGGAAUCUUAGACAAUGGGGGCAACCCUGAUCUAGCCAUGCCGCGUGAGUGAUGAAGGCCUUAGGGUUGUAAAGCUCUUUUAGCUGGGAAGAUAAUGACGGUACCAGCAGAAGAAGCCCCGGCUAACUCCGUG
rnacentral:rRNA from 1 species